rnacentral:rRNA from 1 species
AGAUUGAACGCUGGCGGCAUGCCUUACACAUGCAAGUCGAACGGCAGCACGGGAGCAAUCCUGGUGGCGAGUGGCGAACGGGUGAGUAAUAUAUCGGAACGUGCCCAGUCGUGGGGGAGUAACGCAGCGAAAGCUGUGCUAAUACCGCAUACGAUCGUC